rnacentral:rRNA from 1 species
CAAUAGCGUAUAUUAAAGUUGUUGCAGUUAAAAAGCUCGUAGUUGGAUUUCUGGUGGGAGCGAUCGGUCCGGCGCUUAGCGCGAGUACUUGCAUCGUCUCCGGCCAUCCUUGGGGAAAGUCUGUCUGGCAUUAAGUUGUCGGGCAGAGGAUCCUCAUCGUUUACUGUGAAAAAAUUAGAGUGUUCAAAGCAGGCUUAUGCCGUUGAAUAUAUUAGCAUGGAAUAAUAAGAUAGGACUUUGGUACUAUUUUGUUGGUUUGCGCACCAAAGUAAUGAUUAAUAGGGACAGUUGGGGGUAUUCGUAUUCCGUUGUCAGAGGUGAAAUUCUUGGAUUUACGGAAGACGAACUACUGCGAAAGCAUUUACCAAGGAUGUUUUCAUUAA